GAACUCUUUUCCAAGCUUUUGGAGUUAGUUUGACCAAAAAGAAAUGAAAAAUGAAAAAAAAAUAUUUGUGGUGUUCGGGCUUCCUGAAGAUAAUACAUGGGUAUUAGGUUUUGUGGCUAGGGAAAGGUUUAAGGUUUUUGGCGUUAGGGUUAAAAUCACUGUCCAAAACCUUUGUAGGAACUCUUUUCCAACCUUUUGGAGUUAGUUAGACCAAAAAAAAUGAAAAAUGAAAAAGAAAUAUUUGGGGUUUUCGGGCUUCCUGAAGGUAAUACUAUUAGGUUUUGGGGCUAGGGUAAGGUUUAAGGUUUUUGGCGUUAGGGUUAAAAUCACUGUCCAAAACCUAUUUAGGAACAUGUUUCAGACCUUUUGGAGUUGGUUACACCAAAUAAAAAUAAAAAAUAAAAAAUAAAUAUUUGGGGUGUUCGGGCUUCCUGAAGGUAAUACCCAGGUAUUAGGUUUAGGGGCUAAGGGAAGGUUUAAGGUUUUUGGCGUUAGGGUUAAAAUCACUGUCCAAAACCUUUGUAGUAACUCUUUUCCAACAUUUUGGAGUUAGUUAGACCGAAAAAAACAAAAAAUGAAAAAAAAAAUAUUUGGGGUUUUCGGGCUUCCUGAAGGUAAUACUUUAAUAAUAUUAGGUUUUGGGGCUAGGGGAAGUUUUAAGGUUUUUUGGCGUUGCGGUUAAAAUGACUGUCCAAAACCUUUGCAGUAACUCUUUUCCAACCUUUUGGAGAUAGUUAGACCAAAAAAAAUUUAAAAAAAUAUAUUUAUAUUUGGGGUGUUAGGGCUUCCUGAAGGUAAUACCCGGGUAUUAAGAAUUGGGGCUAGGGUAAGGUUUAAGGUUUUGGCGUUAGGGUUAAAAUCACUGUCCAAAACCUUUGUAGGAACUCUUUUCCAACCUUUUGGAGUUAGUUAGACCAAAUAAAAAUGAAUAAUGAAAAAAAAAUAUUUGGGGUGUUUGGGCUUCCUGAAGGUAAUACCCAGGUAUUAGGUUUUGGGGCUAGGGUAAGGUUUAAGGUUUUUGGCGUUAGGGUUAAAAUGACUGUCCAAAACCUAUUUAGGAACAUGUUUCAGACCUUUUGGAGUUGGUUACACCAAAUAAAAUAAA